GAUUUUUCUAUGUGAAAAACAGAAAAUUGCACCAGAAUCAUAUCAUCCACUCCAAAAAAAAAAGGCUGAAAAAUUAAAACCCCCUAAACCAUUAUUCCACUUUGGAUAGCAAAUGCAACUUAUUUUUCUUUUCUAAACAACAGUUGAUACGUCUGCAGAUGAAUGCAUAAUCCAGUUCUCGGAUGUAGAAGGGCUUGAUGGACAUAAGGAGGGUUCUACAGAAAUUUCAAUUGAUACAUCUGAAGAUGAAUGCAUAAUCCAGUUCUCGGAUGUAGAAGGGCUUGAUGGACAUAAGGAGGGUUCUACAGAACUUUCAAGUGCAGAUAUGUCUGAAGAGGAAUGCAGAAUCCAGUUUUCAGAUGUUGAAGGGCUCGAUGGACAUAAGGAGGGUACUAAAAUACUAUCAAUGGCCUGCAUACAUUUCUCCGAUGUAGAAGGACUUCAUGGAAAUCAAACUGGAGCCAAAG